UACGUAGGGUGCGAGCGUUGUCCGGAAUUAUUGGGCGUAAAGAGCUCGUAGGCGGUGUGUCACGUCGUUCGUGAAAACCUGCAGCUUAACUGUGGGCGUGCGGUCGAUACGGGCAUCACUGGAGUUCGGCAGGGGAGACUGGAAUUCCUGGUGUAGCGGUGAAAUGCGCAGAUAUCAGGAGGAACACCGGUGGCGAAGGCGGGUCUCUGGGCCAUAACUGACGCUGAGAAGCGAAAGCAUGGGGAGCGAACAGG
rnacentral:rRNA from 1 species